ensembl:snoRNA predicted gene, 25569
CCCCCCUGGCAAUGGGCAAAGAGACAUCUUGUUGUUGGUGGUGUUCUUAUAUCAGUUAGGGGCAGAGCAGAUAGAUGACAGUCUAUUGUUCAUCCUAGCUUCAUGCCUGGCUUGGUGGCCAAAGCUGUUUCAUGUAGGACACAUUU